rnacentral:rRNA from 1 species
GACGAACGCUGGCGGCGUGCCUAACACAUGCAAGUCGAGCGGGGUCCAUCCGGUAGCAAUACUGGGGAAGACCUAGCGGCGAACGGGUGAGUAACACGUGAGAAACCUGCCCCGAAGUCUGGGAUAACCCGAGGAAACUCGAGCUAAUACCGGAUGCCUUCUUCUGAUCGCAUGGUCGGAUGAAGAAAGAUUUAUCGCUUCGGGAGGGUCUCGCGGCCUAUCAGCUAGUUGGCGGGGUAACGCCCACCAAGGCGUCGACGGGUAGCUGGUCUGAGAGGACGAUCAGCCACACUGGGACUGAGACACGGCCCAGACUCCUACGGGAGGCAGCAGUGGGGAAUAUUGCGCAAUGGGCGAAAGCCUGACGCAGCAACGCCGCGUGCGGGAUGAAGGCCUCGGGUUGUAAACCGCUUUCAGUGGGGACGAAUUCAGACGGUA